rnacentral:lncRNA from 1 species
AUGCCUGGCGGGCAUCGGACACCUGUCCCUCCCGGUACCAGAGACCCCUCCGCGUCACCUCAGGAAGCCACCCUUCUCCCUGUCCCCCCAGGAGAGGCUGCAUCCUGCCAAGGCACUCGGCCCUUGGGCUGGGAAGGGAACCGGCCUCUGUUGCCAUGGCUCAAACCAAGCUGUCCUACGGGACCCCUGGCCUUGUUCCCUGCCCCUUGGGGCCUCCACAGCUGGAUCAGCAGGGCUGCUGAACGGCCUUGCUCCUGCAAGAAGAGGCAGCGCCCGUCUGGCGACUCCUGGUCCCAUGGGUUAGGAAUCUGCGCCCUGCAUCUGCCAGGAGCCCUUGCUGCGAGUGUUCUGUCCGGGUGGGAGCCCCUGCACCUCACCUCGUCAGGGCCUCCCCGACCCUGCAGGUGCCCUGGGGGCUCCUACCAUCAUCUUCGUGGGCCUGCGUCUAGCCCAGCGUCCCUUGAGCCUUGUUUUCUUCCUCCUGGUCAUCGCUGUCCUGCCUCAGAGGGGCACAAAGCUCAGGUGAGGAGGGCGAGCUCAGGUGUCAAGUCCAUGACCAUGCCGAGCCUGAUGUGGAACUCAUCACAGCCCCCAGGCAAGGUUAUUCAAACCGAUGUUGGCAGGCUAAAACCAGCACCCCAUGCACACAUGCACACGGAGACACGGACACACACAGAGACUCGGAUACACACACAGACACACGGACACACAGACACAGAUACUUAUACAGACUCACAGACACACACACAGAUACAGACUCAGACACACACACAGGUGCUUCCUGGCUUCCAGCCAGGAGAGAAAGAGCAGGGGCCCUGGGGCAGCAGCUGGGGGAGCUUACAGGGUGCCCGAAUCAGCCUGGGCACGGCGGUGCAGGGGAGCCUCUGCCUGGCCAGCCGGGUGGCCGCUUGCUCCAUUGCUCCGGGGUCGCAGGGCUCCGAGACGGUGCCCUUCAGCCAGGCGUUCUGCUGCAGCACAGGACAAGGGGACACACGAGGAAGUUUUUCUUUGCUUUCUUGA